CCUACGGGUGGCUGCAGUGGGGAAUAUUGGACAAUGGGGGCAACCCUGAUCCAGCCAUGCCGCGUGUGUGAAGAAGGCCCUCGGGUUGUAAAGCACUUUCAGUGAGGAAGAACGCCUGGUGGUUAAUACCCAUCAGGAAAGACAUCACUCACAGAAGAAGCACCGGCUAACUCCGUGCCAGCAGCCGCGGUAAUACGGAGGGUGCGAGCGUUAAUCGGAAUUACUGGGCGUAAAGCGCGCGUAGGUGGCUUGAUAAGCCGGUUGUGAAAGCCCCGGGCUCAACCUGGGAACGGCAUCCGGAACUGGCGAACUAGAGGGCAGGAGAGGAAGGCAGAAUUCCCGGUGUAGCGGUGAAGUGCGUAGAGAUCGGGAGGAAUACCAGUGGCGAAGGCGGCCUUCUGGACUGACACUGACACUGAGGUGCGAAAGCGUGGGUAGCAAACAGGAUUAGAUACCCUGGUAGUC
rnacentral:rRNA from 1 species